GCACCACACGCCUGGCCAGGGUCCCCUCCGGUGGCCAGCGUUUAUCAAGCCCCGGCCCCGCUUGAGACGCCGCGGGGUGUGGCUCCUCCCACUUACAGAUGAGAAGGAGGUGACUCAGCUAAGGUCACAGAACACACGCGGGGCAGCGCUGGUGUCCGAUCUCAGGCCCAUCUGGAUGCUGUCUAGACAUGCUGCGUGGGUCACUGUGUUGGUUCUGGGGACGCAACGGCGAGCGGGAGAGAGCGGGCCGUCUGCCGGCAGGACGGGAAGCGGAGGCUCGGACAGGGGGGCACGUGACCCGAAGUCACAGCACGUCCACAGUGGGGCAAGCCUCGAGUCCAGUCCAGUCUCCCCAUUUAGGCCAUUCCCUCUGCUCUCUUGGCUCUUAUCAAAGCCUUUUCUUCAUACCCGCAGGGGACGUUUAUCAAAUAUUUUCCCCAUGCCAGGCCCAUAUCAGGCCUUCGAUUUACACGGCCGGCUUCAUCUGCUUCUCGCAAGAGCCCCGGGAGAUACGCCCUGUCAUUCCCUCCGGUUGACAGGCGAGGACAACUGAAAUCCAGAGAGGUUAAGUGACCCAGUCCCGCUGCUGGAAAGUGUCAAACACAAGGCUACUGCGCCCCCAACACUCUGAAACCAAAACAGGAAAACCAAAAGGCUUUUUGGUUUUUGAACCAAAAACUCUGAACCCCCAAACUCUGAAACCAAAACAGGAAAACCAAAAGGCUGCGUGGAGGCUGGUCCGAAGGUGGUGAGUGAACACAAUUUUAGUCCGUUACGGAUCGGGCUCCUCAUUCUAUUCUUCGCCCCCUUCUCACUACUGCAUUUGGCUCAUCUUAAAAAAAAAAAAAAAAAAGAAAAAAAAGGCGACAUGGAAAGAGAAGAAAAGAGAAGCUAAUACAGUGACUUGCCAUCUGUACAGAUAACAUUACUAUGAUUAUGUCUUUUUUUUUUAAUGUUUAUUUUUGAGAGAGAGAGAGCAUGAGUGGGGAGGGGCAGAGGGAGAGGGAGACAGGGAAUCUGAAACAGGCUCCAGACUCCAAGCUGUCAGCGCAGGCCCCGAUGUGGGGCUCUAACUCACGAGCCAUGAGAUCGCGACCUGAGCCGAAGUCGGAUGCUUCACCAGCUGAGCCACCCAGGAGCCCCAAGAACCAACGAUUAUGUCUUAACAUUAGCUUUGGAGUUCCCGGUUAGCCAAGGCAAAAAGGGAAAUGCAACGUCGGCCAUGUCUAGUUAUAGCCGGAGUUUUUUUGUUUGUGUUUUGUGUUAUUUAUUUUAUUUUUUUAAGGAGACCGUAACCCUUCAAGAGAAACGCAGAGCUUCUGAGUCCUAAAUUCCCACGGAACCACUUGGCAUGAUGGUCAACAGCCUGACAAACUUACUGGAACACAAAGCUUAUGCUUCCUGGGUCUCAGUUUCCCCUCCUCGCACGGUAGUUGGGAGGACGAGGUAAGACAAUGUGGUUUAAUGUGAGCCGCUGCCAUUACGGAGCCCAUCUCAAUCUUUGGAUUUGCAGGUAAAGCGGAAAUAUUUUUCAAAGGGGCAUAAUAGUUCAACCCUUGCCAAGAGCUGAAGACCAGUCACUUCAGCAGGAUAUCCCGGCCGGGAGAUCCUCAGGGGGGAAACUGAGGCUGGGAAAAGUCCGGGCAGUGAGCUGAAGGAGAGAACCAGAUGUCCUGCCCCGUUGGGCCCGACUCCACUUCCCACAGGGUGGACGGGGGUCUGGGAUGAGCAGGGAGCCCCGCUGUGAUCGCGGCCUGACACAAUAUUUACAGAACCCUGUGAUCUGUCACGGUCAUGCCUGGUCACGUCUGAGUCACAUCAGCCUGCGGUGUUUACGAUUCCCCAGACGCACAAGAGUGAGCGCAGUUCAGCCCAUGUGCCUCUGCUGUCCCUGCUGAACUGGCUCCUUCGGAAGAGGCUCCUGGGUACACGGCCACAGGGGCCGAUUAGAUGAACCAGAAGAGCCGCAGGAUUCCGUGCCAUCCUCGGUCUCAGUUUACCCAUCUGUGAAAUGGGCCUUGCCCUUGAACGACGGACAGUCGAGUGCCUUGUAGAUGUUAUGACUGAGGAAUGACACCGAUUCAACUCCAGAAGAAAUAGAACCAUGGCGGGAGAAAAAUGGGUAGUGACUAUAGACGGACCUCUUACAGAUAAGAAACGCGAGAGGUCAUCAGAUACCAAAAAUAUUUACCUUCCUCAGCCAUUCAACGUAGGCAGGUUGAAACGGGAGACGCCUUUCCAAAUUUAAAAUAAUUUCUCAGUACUGCUCUGCCUCAGCACUGCCUAAGGUACUCACUCCUUGGCAUCAUGCUGCCCUCGGGCCCCCGGUGAAGUCCAAGAUCAUCAAACACACACACACACACACACACACACCAAGAAGUUCAUUUGGUGCCAGUCCGACAGGUCAAAAUUAAGUGUGACUGGCACUGACCACAGGACGCGGAGGAGAUUCAGGGGCCAGUUCUCGAUGCCCCACGGUGGUUCUAAGAGCAACAAGAAAAUAAAGGGUGGGCCACCCAGUGGCUUCCAGAAGCUUCUGGGCCACAACAUCGAGGAGCCGGAAGUCACAGUGAUGCCGGUGUGCAAAAAAGAUCCUACCGUAUGGGACUGGUCACAACGGUUCCUCCGAGAACUGCAAGGCGGUUGUAGAAAAGGCAGCCAACGGGCCGACGGUCACCAGUGCCCACACGGGGCUGCGUGGGGAUGAAAAUGAAUAGACAGCCCAUGUGCAUGUUUCAUUUGUGUUAAAGCCACAAAGACAUUGCCGUAAACAAGCAAAUAAAAUAGCUCGUGCUAACCGGGAUGCAGAGACCCAGGAACAGAAACUGACACAACCUUUCCGGAAGAGGCUCUAUGGCAAUAUGAUCGCAAGUCUUCAAUCUCUCGAAGAAUCUCGGACCCAGCGCGGGAGUUUUCUACUUGGGCUGUGACAAAGGAUCACAAACCUAGUACUUGAAGAUGAUAACAAACGUAUUACCUUUCCGUUCUGGAGAUCGGAGAGUCCGGGGCUAAAAUCAAGGCCUGGUUGGGGGUCGGUGCUGCAUGUCUCCCCCGUGGUGGGAUGUCUUAAGGAAGAAUCUGUUUUCCUUGCCUCUUCCAGCUUCUAGGGGCUUCCCACCUUCCUGAGUUUGUGGGCGCCUUCCUCCUUCUUCAAAGCCAGUACUGGCCAGUUGAGUUUUUCUCAAAUUGUAUCACUCUGACAGAGGCUGUCCUACCUCCCUCUUCCCUUUGGAAGGGCCCAUGUGAUUACACUGUCAUCUACAAGGAUCUCCUUUGGGUAGACAGGCAACCUUAAUUCCAUCUGCUACCUUAAUUCCGCUUUAGCAAAUCCACAAAUUCCAGGGAUUAUGCUGGGGACAUCUUUGGGAGGCUAUUAUUUGUCUAUCACAUCCGGAUAUUUAUUAGCAAGAACCUAAGUAUGGAUGUAUAGCAGCAGGGAAUGAUGUAUCACUAGGGUUUCAUUAAAAAUAGUGGUGGAAUGGGGCACCUGGGUGGCUCAGUUGGUUAAGCAUCCAACUUGGGCUGAGGUCAUGAUCUUGUGGUUUGUGGGUUCAAGCCCGACGUCGGGCUCUGUGCUGACAGCUCGGAGCCCGGAGCCUGCUUCGGAUUCUGUGUCUCCCUCUCUCUCUGCCCCUCCCCUACUCAUGAUCUGUCUCCCUGUCUCUCUGUCUCUCAAAAUAAAUAAAUCAACAUUUAAAAAAACAGUGGUAGACAAGACACAGUAAGCAAGUUAUAAAAAGUUGUUACAAUGUAGCUUGACUUUUAAAAUAUGAAUGAUGAUCUUUCUCCAUCUAUCUAGAAUACAGAUAUAAGCUGGAAAGAUAUACUCAGAUUAUUUUUAGCUCAUUCCUUUUCCUUGUCUUAUUGCUUUUCUAGAUCUUCCAUAUUGAAUAAAUAUAGUGAUUACCUUCAAUUUCUUUCAUUAAACCAACUUUUAUUUAUUUUUAUUGUUUUUAUUUUUGACUUAAAUCCAAGUUGGUUAACUUACGGUGUAAUUCAUUAAACCGACUUUUUAAAAACAUGUAUUGAAUACCUACUGUGUGUCAGAGACAUCUGGGAGUGGGUCAUAUGUAAUUUUUAUUUUCUCUUGUGUGUUCUUAAGUUUAUUGAUUUAUUUUGAGAGAGAGAGAGAGAGAGAGAGAGAGAGAGAGAGAGAGAGAGAAUCCCAAGCAGGGCCUGUGCUGUCAUCAUAGAACCCGACAUGGGGCUCAAACUCCUCAAACUCACGAACCAGGAGAUCAUGACCUGAGCCAAAACCAAGAGCCAGACUCUUAACCAACUGAGCCACCCAGAGGCCCCAGUGACUUUUAUUUUCUUAAUUUUAUUGAUGUUUUCUAAAAUCUCCACAUCAAGCAUCUUAUUUCUGCGAUAAGAAUUUAACUUUUUUUUUUUUUUUUUUUUUUUUUUUUUUAAAGCAUGUGAGCUUUUGAGACUGGGACAAACAGGCACUUUAGCUCAUGGUCUCACCUAGGAUCCAACCUCCAGCAGAGUCACUAAUUAAGGAUCAGCUCCUUCUCUGCGGAACCUUCUCUGGAGAGCAGGGAACCUCUCUGUGUCCCCCUGUUCCUCCCCAUCCCUGCUGCCUGGACCAGGGCCUGGUUCAGUAAACCCUUGUUGAACUGAGGUUCUAAACUGUGAUCCUAAUUCCCCUUCAUUGCCUCCUCUGGGUUGACAUCCCGGCCUUGAUCUCAAUCACCAUGGAAAUGGUUUCUUUCCUAGCCGCGUCCCUGGGGGGUAAUGAGUUUGCCUUCUCCAGGUUAACUGGAAUUUCCCCCGCUACAUCAGGCCCGGAGUUCUUGCUCAAGGGCUCAGCUUUGGAAUAGUGGCCUAUGCCCCCGGCCCCAGGACUGACAAGGGUCGUAACCACUCACUAGCAAUGACAUCAAAUAAAAUUAAAAACAAAAACAAAAACAAACAAACAAACAAAAAAACCCAGGGACGCCUAGGUGGUUCAAUAGGUGAGCGACUGACUCUUGGUUUCAGCUCAGGUCAUGAUCUUGUGGUACCUGAGUCUGAGCCCCGCAUCCGCCUCUGUGCCCGAAGCCUGCUUGGGAUUCUGUCUCCCUCUCUCUCUGCCCCUCCCCCUGCUCGUGUUCACGCUUUCUAAAUAAAUAAAUAAAUAUUUCAAAACGAGCCACGACCCUGGUUGCAACAGGGUCCGAUUCACCAGAAUUCAGGUAUCG
ensembl:lncRNA